rnacentral:lncRNA from 1 species
GGUGGAUUUUAUUUCUAGAUCCUAUUCAGUUAGAUAGUGAUUAAGAUGAUUUAUAUUGAAUCUCAUGAUCCUCCUGAAUUAUACAUAAAAAAUAAUAUUUUUCAAAUUGAAUCAAUUUACCAUUGUAAUCUUAGUUUAUAAUAUUUUACUUCAAAAUAAUAUUAAUAUAUAAUAUAUUAAUAUAUGAUGUAUUAAUAUCUAGUUUUUAUGAAUACGUGGUUGGUGUUUUGGAGGG